rfam:Candidatus Brennerbacteria bacterium RIFOXYD1_FTLL_41_16 rifoxyd1_full_scaffold_34, whole genome shotgun sequence.
AUUCGCAUUAAUUAAGGGCAGAUGGUGGAUGCCUUGGGUAGAAGAGGCGAUGAAGGACGUGGUGUGGCUGCGAAAAGCUUCGGGGAGCUGCUUAACAAGCUUUGAUCCGGAGAUGUCCGAAUGAGGAAACUCUAUUGAGACAAAUCUCAAUAACGCUUCGAUAUAAAAUCGGAGUGAGCGCACCUGGGGAAGUAAAACAUUUCAGUACCCAGAGGAAAAGAAAACAAUAUAACACAUUUCACUAUCGCAACGCGUGACGAUUGUCCGCCAACCGGCGGAAUCAGACAUUUCGCGAUAGUGAAGUGAGUUAUCCAUUCCCUGAGUAGCGGCGAGCGAAACGGGAAAAGUCUAAACCAGAAUUUUUCGCAAGAAAAACUUUGGGGUUGCAGGGCCAGAAAACACGUUUGUUUUUUUGUAGAAAAACGUUUUGGAAAGAACGACCAAAGAAGGUGAUAGUCCUGUAUUCGAAACAUAAAAACAAAUUAUUUUGGUUCCUAAGUACCUCGACAAACGAAAGCGUCGAGGGAAUCCGCGAGAACUAUACUCGCAAGACUAAAUACUCUUCUACACCGAUAGUGAACUAGUACCGCGAGGGAAAGGUGAAAAGAACCCCGGCGAGGGGAGUGAAAUAGAAACUGAAACCAUUAUGCCUACAAGGAAUCGGAGCCCCGGUUACGCAAGUAAUCGAGGGUGACGGUGUGCCUAUUGAAGAAUGAGCCAACGAGUUUUUCUUAAUGCUUUAUUUAAGUUCCCGCAGGGAACGAAGGUAUAGCGAAAGCAAGUGUUAAUAGCGCGUUGUAAAUAUGUUUUCAAAGCUUUGAGCAUAUUUACGUAGCAUUAGGAAAAGACCCGAAGCCAGGCGAGCUACUCUUGGACAGGGUGAGUCCUCUCGAAAGAGAGGAGGAGGCCCGAACUCGUGAGUCGUUUAACGCUCUGGGAUGAUCUGAGAGUAGAAGUGAAAAGCUAAUCGCGCUUGGUAAUAGCUGGUUCUCCUCGAAAUAGCUUUAGGGCUAGCGGUUAUUAAAACUAAUUAUGGGGGUAGAGCACUGGUUGAGACUGUCAGGGAGAAAUCUCGCUGUCUCAGUCAAACUCCGAAUACCAUAAUUUUCGAUAACCAGUCAGACUGUGGGGUCUAAGCUCCAUAGUCAAAAGGGCAUGAACCCUGACUCCAAUCUAAGGUCCCUAAAUUCUUACUAAGUGUUAAAGGUAGUGAUCAGCCGAAGACAGGCAGGAGGUUGGCUUAGAAGUAGCCAUCCUUUAAAGAGUGUGUAACAACUCACUACCAUAUCCGCCCUCGGGUGGAUUGGCUGGUCGCGCCGAAAAUUUAGCGGGGCUAAGUAAGAUACCGAAGCUGGAGAUUCUUUGCUUUUAGCAGAGAGUGGUAGAGGAGCAUUUUGCAUGCAGUGAAGUCGCAGUCGCGAGACGCGAUGGAGCGUGCAGAAGAGAGAAUGUUGGCAUGAGUAACCUGCAAUUGCGGUGAAAAACCGCAAGGCCGAAAACCCAAGGUUUCCUGGACAACGACAAUCGGUCCAGGGUUAGUCGGUCCUAAGUCGAUGCCGAAAGGCGCAGAUAAUGGACAGCUGGUUAAUAUUCCAGCACUUCUUAUUGAAUCGACGGAGUGACGGAGGAAAAAAGGUAGAGCGUAUUAAUGGAUUUACGUUGUUGUUUUUCAGAGCUGACUGUUUAGUAAAUCUGGCAGUCUCAGGUUUGACCAAAAGUUCGGAAAAUGACUGAACAGCCGUUUAGGCGGCUGAACUUUACCGAAGAGCCUUCCCAGAAAAGCUUCUAAGAUUAUUCAAUGAGAAUCCGUACCAAAACCAACACAGGUAGGUAAGGCGAGAAGCCUAAGGCCAACGAGUGAUUCGUCCCUAAGGAACUAGGCAAAAAAGCUGGGCGUAAGUUUGCAAUAUGCCCUGACCACAAAGCCGCAAGGUAGCGUGGCCCGCAGCUAAAGUUUGCUUGGCGACUGUUUACCAAAAACACAGCUCCCUGCGAACACGUAAGUGGAUGUAUAGGGGGUGAGACCUGACCGAUGCACCAAGGUUAAACCCGGCGCUGACUGCAACGCAAGUUGUAGAAGGUGACUGGGCGAAGCCCGUGUCAAUGUCGGCCUUAACUAUAAGGGUCCAAAGGUAGCGCAAUUCCUUGUCAGGUAAGUUCUGACGCGCACGAAAGGUUUAACGACUGAGCAACUGUCUCAGGGACGAGCUCGGUGAAAAUGCGAAUCCAGCGAAGACGCUGGGUACCCGCGGCAAGACGAAAAGACCCCGGAAGCUUCACUGUAUCCUGAUAUUGAUUUAAGGAUCAAGAUGCGUAGCGUAGAGGGCAGGAUUUGAAGGUUUGAUUUCGGUUAGACUGGAUCCGACAAUGAAACACCCUUCUUUUUGAUUUUUAAAUCUAACCAUGACGGCAAAAACGUUAAGGGACAGUGUUUGGAAGGCAGUUUACGUGGGGCGCGUUCCUCCUAAAGAGUAACGGAGGAGUUUAUUAAGGUCGGCUUGGGCAGGAUGGACAUCUGCCUGAAAGUGUAAAGGCAUAAGCCGGCUUAACUGCAAGGUUGACAGACCGCGCAGGUGCGAAAGCAGAACUUAGUGACCCGAUACGUCGUUGUAGAAGGCGUAAAGACACCGGAUAAAAGCUACUCCGGGGAUAACAGGCUGGUUUCGUCCGAGAGUCCACAUCGACGACGAAGCUCGGCACCUCGAUGUCGGCUCACCACAUCCUGGGGGUGAAGAAGCUCCCAAGGGUUGGACUGUACGUCCAUUAAAGUGGUACGCGAGCUGGGUUCAGACCGUCAAGAAGCGAAUUUGCCAACUGGCUGGCUUUUUGACCGUCUGAAUCCCGAGGAAAGACAAUAAGCGGCGGCCUCUGAUAGUAAUAUCAGAUGUGCACAGUCAACUCAUAUCGGUGGAACUGUAUUUUCUUGACCGGAAUUUACGGCAAUCCCGAGGGAAGUCAUCCUGAGUUUAUCGAAGGAUUGACCCCGUAGAGACUACACGUUGACUACCCCAUAGCUUUAUGCGAAGGGGUAAAGGUAUAGUCCGUGCAAAAUUUUCGAAAAUAGAGCGAAAAAUUGUAUGCGCAAGACAGGUCGGUCUCUAUCUGCCGUGGGCGUUGGAUAUUUGAGGGGAGCUGUCCCUAGUACGAGAGGACCGGGAUGGACAGACCGCUGGUGUACCAGCUUUCCUGCCAAGGGAACUGUUGGGUAGCUAUGUCUGGACGUGAUAAGCACUGAAAGCAUCUAAGUACGAAGCAUUCCCCGAGAUGAGAUAUCCUUAUAGAUCACUGGAAGACUACCAGUUCAACCUUGUGCUUUGCACAAGCGAUAGGCGUUAGGUGGAAGACUGGCAACAGUUUGAGCCGAGACGUACUAAUUGAUCGAAUAUGCGAGUGC